rnacentral:rRNA from 1 species
UACGAAGGGGGCUAGCGUUGCUCGGAAUCACUGGGCGUAAAGCGCACGUAGGCGGACUCUUAAGUCGGUGGUGAAAUCCUGGAGCUCAACUCCAGAACUGCCUUCGAUACUAGGAGUCUCGAGUCCGGGAGAGGUGAGUGGAACUGCGAGUGUAGAGGUGAAAUUCGUAGAUAUUCGCAAGAACACCAGUGGCGAAGGCGGCUCACUGGCCCGGUACUGACGCUGAGGUGCGAAAGCGUGGGGAGCAAACAGG